rnacentral:rRNA from 1 species
GAUGAACGCUGGCGGCGUGCCUAAUACAUGCAAGUCGAGCGAACAGACGAGGAGCUUGCUCCUCUGACGUUAGCGGCGGACGGGUGAGUAACACGUGGAUAACCUACCUAUAAGACUGGGAUAACUUCGGGAAACCGGAGCUAAUACCGGAUAAUAUAUUGAACCGCAUGGUUCAAUAGUGAAAGACGGUUUUGCUGUCACUUAUAGAUGGAUCCGCGCCGCAUUAGCUAGUUGGUAAGGUAACGGCUUACCAAGGCAACGAUGCGUAGCCGACCUGAGAGGGUGAUCGGCCACACGGGAACGGAGACACGGUCCAGACUCCUACGGGAGGCAGCAGUAGGGAAUCUUCCGCAAAGGGCGAAAGCUUGACGGAGCAACGCCGCGUGAGUGAUGAAGGUCUUCGGAUCGUAAAACUCUGUUAUUAGGGAAGAACAAAUGUGUAAGUAACUAUGCACGUCUUGACGGUACCUAAUCAGAAAGCCACGGCUAACUACGUG